UACUCAUGUCCCCUUUGGAUCUCAGUGGUCACCUCCUCCGAGUCUUAUCCACAGUGAUCAACCACCUCAGAUUGUUCCCACCUCUUGGUGGUGCCUUCCUCGUCCACAAUCGUGGUCCUGGAGGCCUGGCAGGUGUCUGAUCACUUGGCUACUGUUGGCACUGCAUGUGGCACUGACACCCUCUCCCUUCAUUCAGAAGACAUUUGAUGAGCACCUGCUGUGUGCAGAGCAGAACCUGGAUGCUGCCCUCAACCAGCUGAGGUAAGAAAGAGGUGAGAAAACUAGAACACAAGGUAGUGAGCAGCGAGGCCAGCCAUGGGCCACGCAGCGCGGUGCAGGACUGCCCAGGAGCCAUCACGGGGAGUGACGUCAGGGAAGGUGACUGCUCCUCUCUCUGGGCUCAAAGGUCAGGGCUCUGAAUGACCCUCAAGCUGGCUUCCAGGUGCUCAGAAGCAGACAGUAUUGGGCUGAGAAUAGACUGCCCGAUGGCCCAGGUUCAAGUUGGUGUCCUAGGUUGAAAACCCAGCCACGUGGCCCGGGUUCAAGUUGGUGUCCUAGGCUGAAAACCCAGCUCUGCUCCCCGGGCCUGUGUCCCCCUCUGUAAAUUGAGAUGACAAGAGCAUGUGCUGAGAGUCACAGUGAGGAGUAAAGGAGCUGACAGAAAAAGUUCCUGGAAGCUGGAAGUGCUGUGUAAAUAUCAGCAUAAGUUAGGGUGAGGCUCAUUAUGCUUGGAAAGCUGCAGUUCCCACGCUGUGCGCCCCACACAGGGCCCAUGCCUCUUCCUUCUUCUGGCUGUUUGUUUCUCUUCCCCCACAGCUUCACAGACACCCAAGGUAGGGGUGGGAGUCCUCCGCUUAUGAGGCCUGGAGAGCUCUGGAACAAGGCCUAUCCUCCUCUUACUUCUCCUGGCCUGCCGCUGGCCCUUGCUCAAGAGUGUGAGGACCACGGAGAACCCUAGCUAAGAAGCCAUGAUGCCUGAGCCCCACAGACCACCAAGCUCUAGAUUGUAAAAAAAAAAAAGGCCCAAGGAGAUGCCCCUGCUCACCUGAUGGCCAUCAUCUGGGCCGUGAAGCUUACUCUGAACUGCCAUCCUAGCCACCCCACCCCACCCCACCGCCUGCCGGACCUCCCAAACAUCUCCUGAAGGCCUAUCUCUACCACUACUGGGAGGAGAAGAGGAAAGAAGGAGUUUAUUAGGCCCCUACUAAGUGCAGAUCAUGUUAGUAUCAUUUCAAACCACCUUGGAAGACAGUAACUGCUACCACCGAGAGAUGAGGAAACUAGGGCUCGAGGAAAUUAAGGAAUCUGUCCAAAGUCACCUGUCUAACAGGUGGGACCUGGGACUUGCCCCUAAACCCAACUUCCCUGCAAAGCCUGUAUUUGAACCAGUAGCACCUCUUCUUUAGUGCAUGCCUACUGUGUGCCAGGCACUCUCCUGACGCUUUACACCAUGCAUCUCAUGUGACCUGCAAAACAACCCUUCAAGCUCAUCUUCUUACCCCCCAUUUUAUAAGUUGGGAAACUGAGGCUCAGAAAGUUAAGUAACAUGCUGACAGUGGCUCUGAUGGUUCAUUUUCUGUCAACUUGGCCAGGUCAUGUACCCAUGGCAUCCAGUUUUUGGUCAAACACCAGUUUACAUGUUACCAUGAAGGUAUUUCUUAGAGGUGAUUAACUUCUAAAUCAUUACUUUCCGUAACGUGAGUAGGCCCCAGCCAGUCAGUUGAAGGCCUUAAAAUAAAGGCCUCAAAAUAAGGCCAAGGCCUCCCCCAAGAAGAAGUACUUCUGCCUCCGGACUGCCUUUGGACUCGAGCUACUUCAUCAGCCUCCCCAGGUCUCCCAUCUCUUGGUCUGUUUGCAGAAUUUCGAGUUGCCAGCCCUUACAGCUGUGUGAGCCAAUUCCUUACAAUAACUCUCCCUCCCUCUACACACAUAUUCCCCUCCCCUCCCCCAACACUGGUUGUUCUUCUAGAAACACUAACAAAUUCAGUGGCAGAGUGAGAAUUUUAACUUAGAACCAUCCAACCCCUAGGGCUGAGGUCUUACCCACUGCACUUCACAACUUCCCGUGUGUGUAUGUGCAUAUUCAUUAUUCCUAAUCAAUAAUUUCUGAUUAUGAUAAACCAUAGACACAUCACUGCUGAGGAUAACAUGAUACCAUUAUUCGAAUAUUUGGACUAAGCAUAAACACUGGCCGCACCACCCAGAGAGUGAAAUAUCAGCUGCAGCAUCUUUGAUUACAAGUUCAGCAAACAGACACUAUUGACCUCAUUUACAUCAUUCACCUGUGGUAGAGAAUUCUCCUGAAUUUCUAGUCUCCAUCGCAGGAGGUAUGCUGUUGUCAUAGCUGUGAGGGUGGCCAGGAGGCAACAGCCCUGGCUAUUUACUCUGCUGGCAGAGCCCCAUAGGUAAAUAGCUUCUGAAUUCAGGGCCAAUUCUGCGGAACCCUGGGGCUAGGUUACCAGUCUCCUUACUUCUAUUGUCCUGUUCAUCACCUGGACGGGGAGCUCCUCGGGGCAGGCCCUCAGCCUUGCCCUUCACUGAAUGGUAGCCCCUGCCUGAAUACCCACCAAGUGCUUGCUGAGUGAGAGGAGGUCCAAGGGCAGGAGGAAGGAUACUUUAUCUUCCUCAGCCCUGAGCUAAGACCCCUGACCUCUUUCUUGGGUGCAGUUGGGACAUCCAUCACUAGAGGAGGAGGGGAGAGUAGUGCAGGAGUCGGGCGUGAGCACCUGCACUAGCUGUCCAGCCGGGGGACCCAGGCAUGUAAGUUUCCUCACUGCUGAGUGCUAAUGGCGAGGCCUGUCCGCCCGCCUUCCUGGGGGUGGGGAGAGGCUUAGCAGGUGUUGCGCUCCACACAGAGUCAGUGUAGAACCUCUUGAGGGUCAGAGGGGAAGCAAAUUGUGCAGACUUCCUGCUGUUUCAGGGCUUGAAACUGUGCUUCAUCCUCAUGGGUCCCUGAAGGGAAUCCAGAGGCCAAAGUCACAGCCGCACGGGGUGGGACAGGAACCAGCAAGUGCUGACACAGGUGUGUCAGAUGCCACCAUUUACUCCUUACCCAGCUGGCCCUUGAGGGGCAGGAUGCAGCCUCAAAAGGCGAAGGGACUGAGAUUGGAGCGGUGAAGGCACUGGCGAGGGCCACAGCACCUAGUGGCACAUCUGGGAUUCUUGCCCUGGUUUGUGUGAUCCUCAACACAAGAGGGCCCCUCACCUGCCAGCCUUUUUUUUUUUUUUUAAAAAAAGGAAGUAAUACCAACAACUAAUUUAUCUUAGCCUUUGAAAGAAGAGCAAUGCAUCUGCUUUUUAAGUCAUGUCAUACUGCUGGCUUAUUGAGAAAAACACAUAAGGGCCUGCACAUAGCAUCUUACCACCAUCCUUUCCACCCUUGAUCCUACUCCUCUGAGUUAGCCCCACUGGUCCUUUGUGGAUACCCUUCUAGUGCCUUCUAUGGUACAUAAGGAUUUUUACACAAUGGCAUCCCCAAGCUGUCAGGAAUUUAUUUCCUGUCAGUAUAUACAGACCUGCCUUAACAUUUUUCAUGACCGCAGAGCAUUCCACCACAUGGCUCUACCACUGUUUACAUGACCAAUUCCCACAGAUGGGUGCUUCCCCAUUUUUUGCUAUUAUGAGGAGUGCUGCAGUAAAUAAGUGUGGAAAUCUGUGUGCACGCUGAGCGAGUGUUUACACUGGAUGCACUCCAAAGAGAGGAACUGCAGGGCCAAAGGAAUGCACACUAGAAUGUACUGGCCUGCACUGCCAAGAGGCCUGUCCACCCUCACGGGCUGGAGGACCAUGUCCUCACCUUUUGGCCAACACAGUCCUCUCUGCCAAACUGACAGGCUAAAUGACGUCUCACCUGAAGAUUGCCCCUCUGAUUGUUGAGUAAACUAAAAAAUAUUUCA